UACGAGGGGUGCAAGCGUUGCUCGGAAUUAUUGGGGCGUAAAGGGUUGGUAGGUGGUCUUGUUUGUCUAGGGUGAAAUCCCAUGGCUUAACUGUGGAAGUGCCCUAGAAACGGCAAGACUAGAGUCCUAGAGGGGUUUGUGGAAUUCCCGGUGUAGCGGUGAAAUGCGUAGAGAUCGGGAGGAACACCAGCGGCGAAGGCGGCAAACUGGAUAGGCACUGACACUCAACAACGAAAGCGUGGGGAGCAAACAGG
rnacentral:rRNA from 1 species